AGAGUUUGAUCAUGGCUCAGAUUGAACGCUGGCGGCAUGCUUUACACAUGCAAGUCGAGCGGCAGGCGCGGGGGCAACCCUGGCGGCGAGCGGCGGACGGGUGAGUAAUGCAUCGGAACGUAUCCCGUAGUGGGGGACAACCCAGCGAAAGCUGGGCUAAUACCGCAUAUGCUCUACGGAGGAAAGUGGGGGGACCCGCAAGGGCCUCACGCUAUGGGAGCGGCCGAUGUCCGAUUAGCUAGUUGGUGGGGUAAAGGCCUACCAAGGCGACGAUCGGUAGCUGGUCUGAGAGGAUGAUCAGCCACACUGGGACUGAGACACGGCCCAGACUCCUACGGGAGGCAGCAGUGGGAAUUUGGACAAUGGGGGCAACCCUGAUCCAGCCAUGCCGCGUGCGGGAAGAAGGCCUUCGGGUUGUAAACCGCUUUUGUUCGGGAAGAAAAGGCACGUCCUAAUACGGCGUGUUCUUGACGGUACCGGAAGAAUAAGCACCGGCUAACUACGUG
rnacentral:rRNA from 1 species